CUGGUCCAUCAUCUUGUCUUACGCAGUGGUCCACCAAUUGCUUCUGGGCAUUCUCAAGCAGAAGGCAAAGGCAAAACCUUCAACUGCUCUCGAUGGGAUGGAGCUGUUUGCUGCACAAUGUCCACAUUGUUGAGAUAUUGCCAUGGUGACAUACUGCAGGCCACUAUUGAGUCGCCCAUCAGUUCAUUACAAGGGACACUCCAAGCUUGAAACAGCCCCGACUCCCAAGCUGUUUAGAUGUCC
rnacentral:lncRNA from 1 species